UACUCCAAAUUUGAUCAAAAUUAAAGCGAUAUUUGCUGUUCUAGUUCCGUUCUUCUUCGUUUUUCGGUUGUGCGCUGCGGGAGAAACUAUUGAUAACUUGACCUAUUUAACUUCGCAAGAAAUUUACUCAACUCGUUGGUACGAUCUGUCAACACAGCAUCGAAAAGAUAUGCUGAUAUUUUUAUGCCAAGCCCAGGCAACUUUUGAUUUGUCUGCCUAUAGAGCGUACCCAUUCAGAUUAAACACAGUUCUCCGGUUUGCCAGUACGGUCUACUCUGCGGCAAAUUUUCUGCGCACCAUAACUCAAAAAUGAUCAUUUCACGUUUAACAGUCGACGAGGUAACGCACCACUAUUAAUAAUAAUGUGCCUAGCGAAAUCACAACGAUGGUUCCUCAAGGUCCAUUUUGCUAAUCCCGAGAGAAAUGUCUACAAUGCAAAUCCGUUCACAGUCCACCGAGCCUUCACUGGUAAAAAUCCUCAAACCAUCAUCCAAAAGAACAAAAAUGGAGGACUUGGAAACACCAGAUGCCUGUGAAAAAGAUGCUCUCUUGAAACUGAAGAAGUUCAAUGGUGACGAUAAUGUUGUUUCUGCACACCCCAGAUUGUACCGAAUUGAAAACUCUCUCAAAAGAAACUAUCUUAGACGAACUCCAAGAUGAAGGUGUCAUUGAGGUUUCAAUCAUGAAAUCCAAAAGAAAUGAUGAACUUAUUCGUAACAAUUUGUACAUUCUAACCUUCAACUCUAGUACCACCCCAGAAAAGGUUAAAAUUGGAUUGUACCAACUUCGACAGUGAAAGUAGGAAAUAUAAAACAAAUCUUCUUUCUCUGAAAAAUCUUUUAAAUCUGGCACAUUAUUCUUUUAGACACAAAAUCGUAUAAAAUAUUUAUAAUGUAAAUUAUUAUGUAUUUAUG